rnacentral:rRNA from 1 species
GUCUAUGGCCAUGCUAUCCUGUAUGUGCCGAUCUCGUUUGAUCUCGGAAGCUAAGCAGGGUUGGGCCUGGUUAGGACUUGGAUGGGAGACCACCUAGUAAUACCAGGUGCUGCAGGCG